rnacentral:rRNA from 1 species
GACGAACCACCCAAACGUUAUUCGGAAUUACUGGGCUUAAAGGGUGCGUAGGCGGUGCGGAAAGUUGGGUGUGAAAUACCUCAGCUUAACUGAGGAAUGGCGCUCAAAACUACCGUGCUCGAGGGAGAUAGAGGUGAGCGGAACUUAGGGUGGAGCGGUGAAAUGCGUUGAUAUCCUAAGGAACACCGGUGGCGAAAGCGGCUCACUGGAUCUCUUCUGACGCUGAGGCACGAAAGCUAGGGUAGCGAACGGG